rnacentral:rRNA from 1 species
AGGACGAACGCUGGCGGCGUGCUUGACACAUGCAAGUCGUGGGCAUGGGGUAACCCAUGACCGGCGAACGGGUGCGUAACACGUGAGCGACCGUCCCUACGUGAGGGGGAUAGCCGGCCCAACGGCCGGGUAAUACCGCAUACGCUUGGCAGGGGGCAUCCCCAGCCAAGGAAACCUCAGGGGCACGAGGACGGGCUCGCGGCCUAUCAGCUAGUUGGCGGGGUAACGGCCCACCAAGGCGACGACGGGUAG